CGGGGUGGAGGUAACGCGUGGGUAACCGUGCCUUGUACAGGGGGAUAACAGUUGGAAACGGGUGCUAAUACCGCAUAAGCGCACGGCAUCGCAUGAUGCAGUGCGAAAAACUCCGGUGGUAUAAGAUGGACCCGCGUUGGAUUAGCUAGUUGGUGAGGUAACGGCCCACCAAGGCGACGAUCCAUAGCCGACCUGAGAGGGUGACCGGCCACAUUGGGACUGAGACACGGCCCAA
rnacentral:rRNA from 1 species